CUCUGGUGUACCAGUUGUCGUGCCAACGGCAUAGCUGGGUAGCUAUGUGUGGCAGAGAUAAGUGCUGAAAGCAUCUAAGCAUGAAGUCCCCCUCAAGAUGAGAUUUCCCAACUUCGGUUAUAAGAUCCCUCAAAGAUGAUGAGGUUAAUAGGUUCGAGGUGGAAGCAUGGUGACAUGUGGAGCUGACGAAUACUAAUCGAUCGAAGACUUAAUCAAAAUU
rnacentral:rRNA from 1 species